rnacentral:rRNA from 1 species
AUGGAGAUGCACAAAUUACUGCAACUCCGUCAGACUGGCUCUGUGGCAGACUACAGGCUUGUGUUCGAGGAUCACAUGUACCACCUGCUUGCACUCGAAGGCACGCUCAGUAACAAGUUCUUCAUCACCCAGUUUCUGCUCGGACUGCGCGACGAUUUAUGGGCAGUAGUACGACUCCAAGCACCCACAAGCAUCACUCGCGCCUCCGUGCUCGCAAGAAUUCAGGAAGAAGAAGCAGAUGCACAUCGUCCGCGACCACGCGUGUUUCCGGUGGGGCGCCCACCAACGCACCCCAUCGCUCUGCCUCCUCGACCACAGGCUGCACUGCGACCUGCCGCUGCCCCCGCCGCUGCUGGAGGGGAAGACUUCGCGCGAGAGCGGCAACUACGCGAUCACCGUCGUGCGCAUGGCCUUUGCUUCCAUUGCGGCGAUCAUUACUCCAGAGAGCACCGCUGCAAACAAGCGUUGCAGUUGCUGACAAUACACAUGGGUGAGCACGGCGAGAUCCUCACUGAAGAUGCAAUUUAG